rnacentral:rRNA from 1 species
UAUUGGUCAAUGGUCGUGAGACUGAACCAGCCAAGCCGCGUGAGGGAUGAAGGUACAGAGUAUCGUAAACCUCUUUUGUCAGGGAACAAGGGUGGGGACGCGUUCGCGGAUGAGUGUACCUGAAGAAAAAGCAUCGGCUAAAUCCGUGCCUGCAGCCGCGGUAAUACGGAGGAUGCGAGCGUUAUCCGGAUUUAUUGGGUUUAAAGGGUGCGCAGGCGGUCUGUUAAGUCAGCGGUCAAAGCCCGGGGCUCAACCCCGGUCCGCCGUUGAAACUGGCAGUCUCGAGUUGGAGAGAAGUAUGCGGAAUGCGCGGUGUAGCGGUGAAAUGCAUAGAUAUCGCGCAGAACUCCGAUUGCGAAGGCAGCAUGCCGGCUCCACACUGACGCUGAGGCACGAAAGCGUGGGUAUCG